ACUCAAAGGAAUUGACGGGGGCCCGCACAAGCGGUGGAGCAUGUGGUUCAAUUCGACGCAACGCGAAGAACCUUACCCAGGCUUGAACAGCAGAUGACAUCCUACGAAAGUAGGCUUCCGCAAGGACAUCUGUAGAGGUGCUGCAUGGCUGUCGUCAGCUCGUGUCGUGAGAUGUUGGGUUAAGUCCCGCAACGAGCGCAACCCUUGUCUUCUGUUGCCAUCAGGUUAUGCUGGGCACUCUGAAGAGACUGCCGGUGACAAACCGGAGGAAGGUGGGGAUGACGUCAAGUCAGCAUGGCCUUUAUGUCUGGGGCCACACACGUGCUACAAUGGCCGGUACAAACCGUUGCAAACUCGCGAGGGUGAGCUAAUCGGAGAAAGCCGGUCUCAGUUCGGAUUGUAGGCUGCAACUCGCCUGCAUGAAGUUGGAAUCGCUAGUAAUCGCGGAUCAGCACGCCGCGGUGAAUACGUUCCCGGGCCUUGUACACACCGCCCGU
rnacentral:rRNA from 1 species